CAGCUCAUGACUUUUGUCAGAUUCUCAGAAGUCUGAGUGCAGCGUGAGGUUCCGGACACCAACGUAAGGUGUGGUCCCAGCACCAGGAGCAGAAGUGCUUGCUGGCACAGAAAGGGCUCAGGCUUCUGGGGAGCUUGCCACGUCUGUCUGUCUUUGGCUGUGUCCUUGCAGCCUCAAGUCACGCAGGUAGGAGAGUCUGAGCCUAACCAGUAGCUGUCUCUGAACCUACAGACUGACUAUGAGCGGCCUUUGAAA